GUGCAGCAGGCGAGAAUUUUUCACAAUGGGGGAAACCCUGAUGGAGCGACGCCGCGUGGAGGAUGAAGGCGUUUUCGUCGUAAACUCCUGUCAUGCGAGAACAAGAAAGUGAUAGUAUCGCAAGAGGAAGAGGCGGCUAACUCUGUGCCAGCAGCCGCGGUAAUACAGAGGCCUCAAGCGUUGUUCGGAUUCAUUGGGCGUAAAGGGUGCGUAGGUGGCAUGGUAAGUUGAAGGUGAAAUCUCGGAGCUCAACUCCGAAACUGCCUUCAAUACUGCUGUGCUCGAGGACUGUAGAGGAGAAUGGAAUUCACGGUGUAGCAGUGAAAUGCGUAGAUAUCGUGAGGAAGACCAGUGGCGAAGGCGAUUCUCUGGGCAGUUCCUGACACUGAGGCACGAAGGCUAGGGGAGCAAACGGGAUUAGAUACCCCCGUAGU
rnacentral:rRNA from 1 species